rnacentral:rRNA from 1 species
AGUGAACGCUGGCGGUAGGCCUAACACAUGCAAGUCGAACGGCAGCACAGUAAGAGCUUGCUCUUACGGGUGGCGAGUGGCGGACGGGUGAGGAAUACAUCGGAAUCUACUUUUUCGUGGGGGAUAACGUAGGGAAACUUACGCUAAUACCGCAUACGACCUACGGGUGAAAGCAGGGGAUCUUCGGACCUUGCGCGAUUGAAUGAGCCGAUGUCGGAUUAGCUAGUUGGCGGGGUAAAGGCCCACCAAGGCGACGAUCCGUAGCUGGUCUGAGAGGAUGAUCAGCCACACUGGGACUGAGACACGGUCCAGACUCCUACGGGAGGCAGCAGUGGGGAAUAUUGGACAAUGGGCGCAAGCCUGAUCCAGCCAUACCGCGUGGGUGAAGAAGGCCUUCGGGUUGUAAAGCCCCUUUGUUGGGAAAGAAAAGCAGCAGGUUAAUACCCCGCUGUUCUGACGGUACCCAAAGAAUAAGCACCGGCUAACUUCGUG